rnacentral:sRNA from 1 species
AGUCCAGUGGGAGCUGACGCCAUGACCCUCACCCUCUCAGUCCUGAUUUGCCUCGGUGAGGUUUGAAGAGGGGGAAGGAAGUUCCCCGUCUUGGAGGGAGCUCACUCUAAAGCCAGGCUCUGGUCUAUCAGAGGCUCCGAGGGAGGAGAGGAACUGUUGGGGCUUUGGGGGCAAAUCUCUCACAGGGAACUCUCUUCCAGGGCUGAGUCUGGGCCCCAGGACCUGCGUGCAGGCAGGCACCCUCCCCAAACCCACCCUCUGGGCUGAGCCAGGCUCUGUGAUAGCCCGGGGGAAGCCCGUGACCCUCUGGUGUCAGGGGCCCCUGGAGACUGAGGAGUACCGUCUGGAUAAGGAGGGACUCCCAUGGACCUGGGACAGACAGAACCCACUGGAGCCAGGAGCCAAGGCCAAGUUCCACAUUCCAUCCAUGGCGUAUGACAGUGCAGGGAGAUACCGCUGCUACUAUGAGACCCCUGCAGGCUGGUCAGAGCCCAGCAACCCCCUGGAGCUGGUGGUGACAGGAUUCUAUGCAGAACCCACUCUCUUAGCCCUGCCGAGUCCUGUGGUGGACUCAGGAGGAAACGUGACCCUCCAGUGUGAUACGCGGGAUGGACUUCUCACGUUUGUUCUUGUUGAGGAAGAACAGAAGCUCCCCAGGACCCUGUACUCACAGAAACUCCCCAAAGGGCCAUCCCAGGCCCUGUUCCCUGUGGGUCCCGUGCCCCCCAGCUGCAGGUGGAGGUUCAGAUGCUACUACUAUUACAGGAAAAACCCUCAGGUGUGGUCGAACCCCAGUGACCUCCUGGAGAUUCUGGUCCCAGGCGUGUCUAGGAAGCCCUCCCUCCUGAUCCCGCAGGGCCCUGUCGUGGCCCGUGGAGGCAGCCUAACUCUGCAGUGUCGCUCUGAUGUCG